AUUGAACGCUGGCGGCAGGCCUAACACAUGCAAGUCGAACGAGUGGCGGACGGGUGAGUAAUGUCUGGGAAACUGCCUGAUGGAGGGGGAUAACUACGGGAAACUGUAGCUAAUACCGCGUACCAUAAGAUGUGCCCAGAUGGGAUUAGCUAGUGGGUGGGGUAACGGCUCACCAAGGCGACGAUCCCUAGCUGGUCUGAGAGGAUGACCAGCCACACUGGAACUGAGACACGGUCCAGACUCCUACGGGAGGCAGCAGUGGGGAAUAUUGCACAAUGGGCGCAAGCCUGAUGCAGCCAUGCCGCGUGUAUGAAGAAGGCCUUCGGGUUGUAAAGUACUUUCAGCGGGGAGGCGUUACCCACAGAAGAAGCACCGGCUAACUCCGUGCCAGCAGCCGCGGUAAUUC
rnacentral:rRNA from 1 species